UAUAUAAUAUAAGUCUAAUGGCAUUAAUUGAUAAUGAUUUUAAUGGGACAGUGAAAAAGAUAAUAGUAAGAGAUGGAGUGUGCUCUAAGAUUGAUAGGGAGAGCUUGAUGGAGAGAAUGAGCUGUGAACUAAGCUGAAAGAUGAGAAGAGACCUCUCCUGUGAAUAUUUUGGCAUAGCAUGAGGUAGGCAGAGGAAACAUCAAGAGAAGGGGCCAAGAAGCUAGAGUGAAUUUGAUUUAUGUAAUAAUAAGUUUUAGUGCCUAUUUUAAGUGGAAGCAUUGUUAGAGAAAUGCUCAUAACAACAGAAUAAAAUUAGACAAGGGGUAUUCAGGGAUGUUUUCUGCCAUAGGCUACCUCUGCUUGGAAGCUUUACAAAGUUGAAGUUUCUCUGUUAGGAAGAUGGAAGAAGCAUGUCUUUAUUCUCUUCAAUUCUUUUGGUAUUUUCUUAUGGCAAAUAAACUACACAUUGCAGAAAUCUUUGUGAUUCUAUUAAUAUCCCAAAAUAGCUUGCUUGAGGAGCAGCCAGGUUAGUUGGCUAAAAUGUCAUUGUCAGGCUUCAGGCACAUGGAUUCGGUAAUGUGUACAGGUCAGAGAGAAAAAAAGAGGGUCCUCAAGAGAAAGGCAAAAAAUAGCAAUAGCAUUUGGCAAUGCCAUGAGGCUGAGUUCUCUAAUUUUAGGUCCUGAACUUUGGUCAACAUUUGAGAAGGGCAGAGAGGUCAUAAACUACAUGAACUCCUGCUGGAGAGAUCAGCUCCAAGAAAUCUGCCAGAUAAAUUUGGGGACAAUUGCCAUAUUGACCAUAUUGAGUGCUACAACCCUUGAAUACAAAAUAUUCCUUCAUUUAUGUAAGAGAUUGCUGCAAGGUCACCUGGGAUUUUACUCACCACCCUCAGCCUACAAGUGAAGUAUCACUCUCACUCCUUGCCUGACUGAAAUGCGCUGGGACAUGUAGACUUUUCAGAGGCUCCAAAGGAGUGGAGGGUAAGAGUGGAAACUAGGUAAAAAUGAUUCUCAUUUACUUAACAUAGGGAAAAGUCAAUGACAAGAAUCAUUAUCCUAGGUGAGAGUAGACUAUGUUCAACUUAUUCUUAGAAAAGCUCUGAUUAUAGGCCAUUUUGAGUAUAUGUAAAAUGAAAUUCUCUAAUCAGUUUCUUUCAAAUGCAGACUAUACUUGAUGCCUCCAUUUUCAUAUUUGUUAAAUGGUAGAUUUUUAAAGAAAUCCUCACAAACUUCCCUUUCAACCACCCUUUACUGAAAUAUAAAAAACAGUUCCAUAGAUAUGAUCAUACACUUCUGUAAUUAUUUUUAUAAAAGCUCAGUAAGUAAGGGGAGAAAGCUUCUAUGAUUCUAUGAAUCAUAGAAGUAGUGAAUUAGAAGAAGUAGUGAAUUAGAUUGGCAAUAUCAGUGUAAUCAGUAUAAUAUAAAUACAGAAGAAAUAAGAAUAGAUAUAUAAUAUAAAUAUUUACAGAUAUAGGUAUAUAUAAAAUUUAUUAUAUACAUGUAUAUUGCUCUGUUAGCUGAGAGGGCCUAGAAGCAAGGGUUUCUCAGUGGCAAUGAACACUCCAACUGCCCAAAUCUUUCUUUCCAACAUCAUUCUCCAAUAAAAUGAACCAGGGCUUCUUGGAGACAUGAUUGAUUCUAUGGCUGAAGGAGGAAAUGUAAGAUGCCUGUGGAACAUCUUAUCGUGUGGGAAAAGUGUUUCAAACACCCCCAUACGCACUUGCGCACACGCACGCAUGCACACACACAUGUUAACUGGGGUAUGUCAGUGGGAUGCAGGAGUCAACUGAAGAAGCUCUCAAUGGCCAAAGCUAGAAAAAAUGUAGUAAUAAGUAAAGGAAUACUGGUUUAUAACACAAAGUACAAAACAAAUAGUUAUAAGUUCACAUUAAUAUAACUAAAUGAUUAAAUAAAUAAAUGGAUAGAAUAAAUAAAUACCACAUACAGAAGGAUCCCAAGUAAUUUAUGUACAUGCAUUUAUGGUGCAACAUAACUCACCACUCCUUAAUUUUAGGCUACACAUAGUGAUCUUCUCCCAAAGGUGCAGUAUGAAAAAGAGAAAAUAUUAAAAAAUAACUUUACAGUUACAAAAGAGAAACUUAAGAAAACAGGUAACUCUACAGAAAUCUGAUAAGAUAUUGUAAAAACAAUAUCUCAGCCAGAUGUGUAAAGUUAGCAUCAUCCGUGAUAACUCAGGUUGAUAGUAUCUGCCUGGUGAUAGAGCAGAGGGCCCUACACACACAGACACACACACACAGACACACACACACACACACACACACACACAGAGCAGGACUUCUGCCCAGGAAGAGUGGGUGGUUUGGGCAAGAAUGUGCUCUGAAUGUCUGGUGAUCUGCUUGCGGUUGUACUCUUGAAUUAAGCUUAAAAUCAAGGAGAAGAGAAUGUCAGUUUACCUCUGUGUUCUUCUUCUCUAAAACCCAUGGCCCCAAUCUACUUCUGAGAAAAAACAUCAGACAAACUCCAACUGAUGAACUUUUCAGAAAAUACCUGACCAGUACUCCUCAAAACUCUCAAGGUCAUAAAAAAACAAGAUAGGUCUGAUAAACUCACAGUCUAGAGGAGCCUAAAGAACUAAGACAACUAAAUAUAACAUGGUAUCUGGAUGAGAUCCUAGAGGAAAAGAGAACAUUAGGUAACUGAGAAAAUUUGAAUAAUAUAUAAACUUUUGUUAAUCCUAAUGUAUUAUGACUUACUCAUUAUUUGUGAAAAAUAUACUGUAGUAAUAAAAAAAGGGAAACUAUAGGGAGAACUGGAUAUGGUCCAUAUGGGAAAUCUUUGUACUAUAACUGCAACUUUUCUGUAAAUUUUAAACUAUUUUAGUGUUAGUGUUUUCUUUCCCCCCAAGAAGGUGGAUUAGAAGUUUUUAGUCUGCCUCAGCUACUUGGAAAUAGCAAAACAGUGCAUAAACAUCAACUCUGUAAGCUUGAUGUUUAAAAGGAAAAUGGGAACACACUGGAAUUAUGGAGACUCCAGUUCCCAGGGAGGAGAACAUAGGUGAACAGCCCCCAUGAAGCGCCUAGCUGAUAAAAGUGAGUGAAACCCCAGUAUAUGAAAGAGAUGGAGAGCCUCCUUUUAUGACUCACUUUUCCACCAGAGUCAGACAACCCAGACUGAGGGAGAACACUUUCUCCCAAGCACCGGAGCUGACUUGCAGAGGGGCUUGGAGGCACUGAGAAGGAAUGACACCAGGAGAGGCUGCAGGCAUUUUUCCAGAUCUGGGACUGACAGCAAGGUGCCAUUUUCCAUCCCAGAUCAUACAAAAUUAUCCAUUCUUUGAAAACCCAGCAGUGUGGCUAUACAGAC
ensembl:lncRNA